GAAAGAUAAAGAGACGGCGAGGAAGCAGAAGAGGGCUACCAAGGAGCUCCAAAGGCGGCGGCGGGGCACGGUCGUGUCAGACGACAACGACGACGAUGACGAUGAGGACAAGGAGGAAGAAACCAAGGAGGAAGAGGAGGAGUAUGUUCUGGCCCCCCGGCUGGGUGCGCUCGUCAUUCGGGAGCAGCCCCCUCAACCGUCUGCGGGGGACAGGCCGAGUGGACCGCCCGCCCAGGGCCCGACCCCGCGAGGUUUUCGGGCUGUGCCCCAAGAAUCGGCAAGGGGCACGCCUUGGGAGUCGAUGGAGCCAACCCCCGACCCUUUGCCCGAGUCGCGCGAGCAGAGGAGCAGCGGCAAGCGGCCGCUGCCAGAUGCCCUGGGGUCGGCGUCGAGCUCGG
rnacentral:lncRNA from 1 species